rnacentral:rRNA from 1 species
GAUGAACGCUAGCGGCAGGCCUAACACAUGCAAGUCGAGGGAGGAGCCUUCGGGCUUCGACCGGCGUACGGGUGCGUAACGCGUAUACAAUCUGCCUUUCACAUAGGGAUAGCCCGAAGAAAUUUGGAUUAAUACCUAAUGGUAUAUAGAUGUGGCAUCACCUUUAUAUUAAAGCUGAGGCGGUGAAAGAUGAGUAUGCGUUCUAUUAGCUAGUUGGAGAGGUAACUGCUCCCCAAGGCGAGGAUAGAUAGGGGUUCUGAGAGGGAUAUCCCCCACACUGGUACUGAGAUACGGACCAGACUCCUACGGGAGGCAGCAGUGAGGAAUAUUGGACAAUGGUCGGAAGACUGAUCCAGCCAUGCCGCGUGCAGGAAGACGGCCUUAUGGGUUGUAAACUGCUUUUGCAGGGGAAGAAUAAGGACUACGCGUAGUUUGAUGACGGUACUCUGCGAAUAAGCAGCGGCUAACUCCGUG